UGGGGAAUAUUGGACAAUGGGCGCAAGCCUGAUCCAGCCAUGCCGCGUGAGUGAUGAAGGCCCUAGGGUUGUAAAGCUCUUUCACCGGUGAAGAUAAUGACGGUAACCGGAGAAGAAGCCCCGGCUAACAUCGUGCCAGCAGCCGCGGUAAUACGAAGGGGGCUAGCGUUGUUCGGAUUUACUGGGCGUAAAGCGCACGUAGGCGGACUAUUAAGUCAGGGGUGAAAUCCCGGGGCUCAACCCCGGAACUGCCUUUGAUACUGGUAGUCUUGAGUUCGAGAGAGGUGAGUGGAAUUCCGCGUGUAGAGGUGAAAUUCGUAGAUAUUCGGAGUAACACCAGUGGCGAAGGCGGCUCACUGGCUCGAUACUGACGCUGAGGUGCGAAAGCGUGGGGAGCAAACAGG
rnacentral:rRNA from 1 species